GCCGACUGAGAGUGCGCUGGGACGCACGCUGGACUGUAAAUCCGGUACUUAGGUUAUGUGGUUCGAUUCCAUCAGGCGGCACCA
rnacentral:tRNA from 3 species